GACGAACGCUGGCGGCGUGGAUUAGGCAUGCAAGUCGAACGGUAGGAUACCUUCGGGUAUCUGAGAGUGGCGAACGGGUGAGUAACACGUAGGUGAUCUACCCUCAAGAUUGGGACAACCCAGGGAAACUUGGGCUAAUACCGGAUGAAAGCAGCAGUGAUGUUGUUUGAAAGGUGGCGUAAGCUGCCGUUUGGGGAUGAGCCUGCGCUCUAUUAGUUAGUUGGCGGGGUAAAGGCCCACCAAGGCGAUGAUAGAUAGGCGGCCUUAACGGGUGGUCGCCCACACUGGGAUUGAGAUACGGCCCAGACUCCUACGGGAGGCAGCAGUCGAGAAUAGUCUACAAUGGCCGAAAGGCUGAUAGUGCGACGCCGCGUGAACGAAGAAGCCCUUCGGGGUGUAAAGUUACUUUUAUUAUGUGAGCAGUGCUUUCUAUGUGAACAGCAUGGGGAGAGGAGAUAUUAGCAUAUUGAAUAAGCAACGGCUAAACCUCCGUCGCCAGC
rnacentral:rRNA from 1 species